rnacentral:snRNA from 1 species
GGGUAUGAGGGUGAUCUGGCUGCAAUGUUUGUCACCCCAUUGAUAGCCAGGCCUGAUUCAGUUGUUCUGGUUGGCUAGCGGGGAUCCCCUUCCUCUCUCCCCAUUCCAUGUGCAUCACUCCUGAAGCUGCACGCUUGGUUGAAGAGAAUGACCAUUCCCACUAGAGGAGAACCAUUCUUCAGUCCAGGGAAUAGAAUAGUUGCUCCCCUGCUAGAACGUCCAAACAAACUCUCAAACAUGGAAUAGUAAAAAGAGCUUUGGUAGAGGAAAUUUGGUUUAAAUACCAGCUCUGCUACUUAUU